UACGGGGGGGGCAAGCGUUGUUCGGAAUUACUGGGCGUAAAGGGCUCGUAGGCGGUCAAUUAAGUCAGGCGUGAAAUCCCCAGGCUCAACUUGGGAACUGCGUCUGAUACUGGUUGGCUUGAAUUCGGGAGAGGGAUGCAGAAUUCCAGGUGUAGCGGUGAAAUGCGUAGAUAUCUGGAGGAAUACCGGUGGCGAAGGCGGCAUCCUGGACCGAGAUUGACACUGAGGAGCGAAAGCCAGGGGAGCAAACGGG
rnacentral:rRNA from 1 species